rnacentral:RNase_P_RNA from 1 species
GAUGGUGUCCGGGCGGUCGCGGAGGCUUUUACGGCCUCCGAGGAAAGUCCGAGCUCCAGAGGGCAGGGCGCUGGGUAACACCCAGGGGCGUCGAGGGAGACCUCGGCGCUACGGAUAGGGCCACAGAAACGAGACCGCCGAUGGCCUCAAGGUCGGCUCAAGACCUUGGGGAUCAGGCAAGGGUGAAACGGUGGGGUAAGAGCCCACCAGGCGGGAUGGCGACAUCCCGUGCUGGCAACCCCCGCCCGGAGCAAGGCCAAACAGGAGGGAAGAGGCCACUCGGCCUCGGGGUGUGGCCCGCACCCCUUGACCUCCGGGUAGGCCGCUUGAGCGGUGGGGAAACUCACCGCCCAGAUAGAUGACCGCCGCCCACAGGCUCAAACCUGUGGGAACAGAACUCGGCUUAUAGGACACUGUCCCGG